CCUACGGGCGGCAGCAGUGAGGAAUAUUGGUCAAUGGACGAGAGUCUGAACCAGCCAAGUAGCGUGAAGGAUGACUGCCCUAUGGGUUGUAAACUUCUUUUAUAUGGGAAUAAAAUGUUCCACGUGUGGGAUUUUGUAUGUACCAUAUGAAUAAAGAACGGCGAACUCCGUGCCAGCAGCCGCGGUAAUACGGAGGAUCCGAGCGUUAUCCGGAUUUAUUGGGUUUAAAGGGAGCGUAGGUGGAUUGUUAAGUCAGUUGUGAAAGUUUGCGGCUCAACCGUAAAAUUGCAGUUGAAACUGGCAGUCUUGAGUACAGUAGAGGUGUGCGGAAUUCGUGGUGUAGCGGUGAAAUGCUUAGAUAUCACGAAGAACUCCGAUUGCGAAGGCAGUUCACUGGACUGCAACUGACACUGAGGCUCGAAAGUGUGGGUAUCAAACAGGAUUAGAUACCCUUGUAGUC
rnacentral:rRNA from 1 species